GCCAGGCCGUGAGCACACCUCCCUGUCAGGGGAGCUGGCCUGCAGUUCUGCCCUGGGACACUGUACACGUGGCCUCUGAUAAGAAUCACUCCAUUCAGGGUAGCUGGCAGGGACUGGAAGUCUGGAAACUACAUUUCCUUGGACUAGGAGAGUUCAAGUUUUGAUUUUACCAAGAGGAGACACUCACAUAAGAUGUGGAAUGUGGAAAAGAAUGUGUAUCUUCUGGCUGCAGCUGUGGGCCGACAAAUGGACAAUCUUCAGACAGCAUGCAGAGGUUUUACCAAGGACUUCCAGGUAACCCCUUGAAAAUCACCUAUGUUUGUACUACAGUCAGCUGAGGUCAUGGAUAGCAGUUUUCUGUGAAGCCUGUAUUUCCUGAAUUAUUGAAUGCUAGCAGUGGUAUUCAUGAUCUUCAUACCACCCAGGCUUUCCAAUGAUUGUAUAAGCUGCUAAAUCCCUAUA